CAGUUUCCGUCAGGGCCUAUGAAGGCAUCUGCAACUUGGCUUUCAUGGACAGCAGCAGUAGUAGACUCUCGUGCAGCUUUAGCAUAAGCAACAAGGGCAGCAGGCCUGUUACCAUAUUGGUAGUUGUACUUCAGAAAAGCAGACAGCCGCUCCCUCGAAGUGUGGUUUGGAUACUUCCGCUGAGCCUCAUCCCAUGACUUCAGGUUCACCUCACGGAGGAAUGCUUCCUGAACGAGCUGCAGAAUGGACAUUUGGGACGCAACAUCCAUCUCUCCUUUGUUGAGCUGUUCCAGAAUGGGCAGUUGAGUGGACUUCUCCAACAACAGGAAAUUCCUGAACACGUUUGGCUUGAUGUCUGCUCUUCCUGUGUGGCGUUGACUUGGAUCAAGCCUCUGACCUUUCAACUCCCCAUUUUCAGCCAGUUUCAGCACUUCAUCCAUGAGUUUUGCCACUUCAGUAUCCAGAGACGAAAGUUGCUGCAAUAUUGAGACAUCCAUCUUGGCCUAAUAGGAGGAGGGUCAUCGACUUGUGGAAUGCAUUGGUCUCGUUGUGUCGGUGGGACAGCCACAUUGAGAGAUCAUGUGUCAGGUCUGCGUAGACUACGCACCAACGGGUCUCAAGAGUUGGAUCCUGGCCUCUCAUCUGUCUACUGGCUGUUACUAGAUGCUGUCCUCCCAAAACCUGGUACUCAUAGUCAUCCACCUUAGUGCCAUGACAUAGUCUUCAUCAAUGGACCUUACUUGAACACCAAUCUUCAGCCGAUCUAUCUUUAUCUGGAAGUGGCCUGUAAAAAAUAAAGAUGACCUGGAGGAAGCCUCUGGAGAUGCCACCAGCUCUUCAGUUACAUCCAUGUCCUGAUCGCUGUCAGAACUCUCAUCUGGAAACAUUAUCUCCUUGAACUUUCCGACAAAGCCAACGGCAGUGGUCUGUGCUUUAAAGAUUCUACUGAACUGUGUUUUACUCCAUUCAAAACUACUCCUUGAUAGUACUUGGGACUUAUCUUCUUUCCCACUGAAUUUGAUCUGAAAUUAUUACGAAAAAGAAAACGAAAAAUCAAAAAAGAAGUUACUUUCUGUUCUGCAUCCGGUUACCCUACCUAGGUAGGGUACAGGUAGGGUACCUACCCUAUUCUGACAUCCCCUACCCUUAUUUUUUGUACGGAAAAAAAAUGAGGGGGAAAAAAGGACCCAAACCAUUAAUUUAUACCUUUUACCCUUGACUACACGCAGAAUGCCAUGUAAUCGGAAGCAGAACUCUUUUUUUUUUUGGCCUGAGUUUUGUGUAAAAUAACACCUCAGGGCUACAGC